GACGAACGCUGGCGGCGUGCCUAAUACAUGCAAGUCGAGCGAAUGGAUUAAGAGCUUGCUCUUAUGAAGUUAGCGGCGGACGGGUGAGUAACACGUGGGUAACCUGCCCAUAAGACUGGGAUAACUCCGGGAAACCGGGGCUAAUACCGGAUAACAUUUUGAACCGCAUGGUUCGAAAUUGAAAGGCGGCUUCGGCUGUCACUUAUGGAUGGACCCGCGUCGCAUUAGCUAGUUGGUGAGGUAACGGCUCACCAAGGCAACGAUGCGUAGCCGACCUGAGAGGGUGAUCGGCCACACGGGGACUGAGACACGGCCCAGACUCCUACGGGAGGCAGCAGUAGGGAAUCUUCCGCAAUGGACGAAAGUCUGACGGAGCAACGCCGCGUGAGUGAUGAAGGCUUUCGGGUCGUAAAACUCUGUUGUUAGGGAAGAACAAGUGCUAGUUGAAUAAGCUGGCACCUUGACGGUACCUAACCAGAAAGCCACGGCUAACUACGUGCCAGCAGCCGCCGUAA
rnacentral:rRNA from 1 species